GAAGAUCAGGCUUGGACGUAAGGUUUUCGAACCCGGUCAGAUCUGGAAAGAAGCAGCCGUAGUAUUAUCUCUUGCGGGUUAAGAUGCUGGUCUUCCAC
rnacentral:SRP_RNA from 1 species